rnacentral:misc_RNA from 1 species
UGGAAAUUGGAUAAGUUUUGAUGGAAGCUGUAAAGUUGGUACUUAAAAGUCUCCAACCAGAACCAACUGAUAAUCAGGUUGCUGUUUCUAGUAGCAAAGCAUCAAAUUAAAAUCAUGGCUUGGAAAAUUUUAAAAAUACCUGAAAACUGUGGGUAAUGUGAUAGAAGAAACAAACAAUUUUCUGCCUAGCAGGAGAUUAGGUUUCAAUUGCAGAAGAGACAAUAAAUCUUAUAAAUCCAAUAUUCUGUGAAAGCAAAGAAUCUUUUUGUUAUAAUAAGCACGUAAAUCUAAGGCACA